rnacentral:lncRNA from 1 species
GCUGUUUGAUUCAGGACGCUGCACCGUUGGGAACAGGAAGGAUGCACCCAGGCUCCUUGUCUGCUCAACCUGGAUCUCGGGCUCCUUUCCUACUCAGGUGCUCACCGUGGUCCCAUGGAUAAAACAAGGGGAGCCCCCAGGGCCGUGAGCCUCUUCCUGAGAGGUGCUCCCAAACAUUCAGCCACUGCCUCCAUCCUUCCAGCCACAGCAGUGGUUUCCACAGGCCUUUCUUCCCUAAUCAGCAGGCAUCCAGCGAUGGGGCUGAUGGUUACGGUUCCCUUGGUUUUGUGGUGAGAAGGAAACUCAUGAACAUUGGACAGGUGAGCGCUGGGCAGCAGAGCUGUGCUACAGACAGUCCCUGGGGCAGCCCAGGGCAUCACUGACGAGCGAGCAACCACAGCACCCAGAAGGACUGAAGAUGAAGAAGGGAAUCUGGAUGAAAACCUUCCUUUGAAAUAAAUGGAAGAAGAAUUGUUUUCCA